rnacentral:rRNA from 1 species
UACGGAGGGGGCGAGCGUUGUCCGGAAUCACUGGGCGUAAAGGGCGCGUAGGUGGCGCGGGCAGUCAACGGUGAAAGUUCGGGGCUCAACCCUGAAUCGGCCGUCGAUACUCCCGUGCUUGAGCACUGUAGAGGCAGAUGGAAUUCCGGGUGUAGCGGUGGAAUGCGUAGAGAUCCGGAAGAACACCGGUGGCGAAGGCGGUCUGCUGGGCAGUAGCUGACGCUGAGGAGCGAAAGCGUGGGGAGCGAACAGG